GACGAACGCUGGCGGCAUGCCUAACACAUGCAAGUCGAACGAGACCGUCGGGUCUAGUGGCGCACGUGUGCGUAACGCGUGGGAACCUGCCCUUGGGUUCGGAAUCCCUCCCCGAAGGGGGUGCUAAUACCGGAUAAUGUCUUCGGACCAAAGAUUUAUCGCCUUUGGGUGGGGCCGCGUUGGAUUAGCUAGUUGGUAGGGUAAUAGCCUACCAAGGCGACGAUCCAGAGCUGGUCUGAGAGCAUGAUCAGCCACACUGGGACUGAGACACGGCCCAGACUCCUACGGAAGGCAGCAGUGGAGAAUAUUGGACGAGGGGCGAAAGCCUGAUAAAGCAACGCCGGGGGAGUGAUGAAGGCCUUAGGGUUGUAAAGCUCUUUUACCCGGGACGAUAAUGACAGUACCGGGUGAAUAAGCACCGGCUAACUCCGUG
rnacentral:rRNA from 1 species